UCGAGCGAGCGCUCACGCGGAAUUUUUCGGAAGGAAGCGGGAGCGACUUAGCGGCGGACGGGUGAGUAACGCGUGGGUAACCUGCCCCAUACCGGGGGAUAACGGUUAGAAAUGACCGCUAAUACCGCUUAAGCGCGCGAGGCCGCAUGGCCACGCGCGAAAAACUCCGGUGGUAUGGGAUGGGCCCGCGUCUGAUUAGCUAGUUGGCGGGGUAAAGGCCCACCAAGGCGACGAUCAGUAGCCGACCUGAGAGGGUGGCCGGCCACAUUGGGACUGAGACACGGCCCAAACUCCUACGGGAGGCAGCAGUGGGGAAUAUUGCGCAAUGGGGGAAACCCUGACGCAGCAACGCCGCGUGAGUGAAGACGUAUCUCGGUAUGUAAAGCUCUAUCAGCGGGGAAGAAGGAAGACGGUACCCGACUAAGAAGCCCCGGCUAACUACGUGCCAGCAGCCGCGGUAAUACGUAGGGGGCGAGCGUUAUCCGGAUUUACUGGGUGUAAAGGGAGCGUAGACGGCGUCGCAAGUCUGAAGUGAAAGCCCGUGGCUCAACCGCGGAACCGCUUUGGAAACUGCGAGGCUGGAGUGCUGGAGAGGUAAGCGGAAUUCCUGGUGUAGCGGUGAAAUGCGUAGAUAUCAGGAGGAACACCGGUGGCGAAGGCGGCUUACUGGACAGUGACUGACGUUGAGGCUCGAAAGCGUGGGGAGCGAACAGGAUUAGAUACCCUGGUAGUCCACGCGGUAAACGAUGAGUGCUAGGUGUCGGGGGGCAAAGCCCCUCGGUGCCGCCGCUAACGCAAUAAGCACUCCACCUGGGGAGUA
rnacentral:rRNA from 1 species